CCAUUUAGCGAGUUAUGACCUGCAAAGACAUCUUCAGGAAUAUCGGGAAUUGAAAGAAUUGAUUGCUCUAAAAAUUUCGGCCCCAAGUCCUUGGUGCCGUCCAGCGAUAGUUGGCUCAAAAACAUGUUCCACCAGUGACUUUGAGAAUGAAGUCUGUUAGAAUAUGUAGGAGAAAUAUCCCUAAAAAUGCUUUGUUGUUUUUCUCCUAGAGAGGGGAAAUAAUUUAAAAAGAGAUGAACGUAAUACAUUAGUUGUACUUUGGAACUAAGAAUUUGUGAAGCUCCAGGCUUUCUGGAAGAAAACCGAGUUUUAUUGUCAACAAAACUUAAAUCGUACAUUUUGAAAUUGAAGUAAUUGCGGAUGUCACUAUUAAAAUUGCUUUUUGAAGGGUUGUUUAGACUUAUUUCAUCAAUAAUGCCAAAAAUUGAGGACUCUUUGUAAUAUCCCCAGAUUGGAAACUCUCUUGUAAUUCCAUUUUUUUGUAAUAACAUAAUACCUUCUAAUUGCCUUAAUAAUCGUAAUGCCCAUGGUUCCUCCUUGGAUGUCCGAUCAAGCACUCGACGUUCUGAUGGAGGGGAGGUUUCAUACUCAAGUAUUUGAUGCAGCUUAAUUCCGCGUUCCAUCUUCGGGGUCUUUUUUUUAAUUCUUCUCAAUAAAUAGUAUUCAUGUUGCACUUCACACCACAAAGGUAAAACAAGGUCAGUAACCUAAUAAUAGGUUCUGUCAGUAAAUGAAAAACAUGCAAUUGAUUAAUGCUUGUAAAUGAUUAUGCUAAGAAUAGCAUUGUCUCAAUCCGCUAUUAUAAAUCUGUUGACAAAACCAUAAAAAAUCAUUCACAAACUUCAGAAAGACCUUACAUUUAAAUAACCUUUGUGUUUUCGAAACAGUUGGAAUAAUGAACUUUCUUUUAACAUUUCACAAACUGAACGUUGAUUAUUAGCUUGUCUGGUUCAUGACUUGAGUGAAAUAUAUCGUACCUUCGUCCUCUAGUUUAGAAAUUUCCCUGCUUACGAGCAAUUGUGGUGGAAUGCUCAAAGAAUAAUCCAAUUGGCUAAUAGUCAAUCUUUGUGUUUCAAGAUAGUCCAUAUAAGAGACUAAUUCGCUCAAAUCUUCCAUCUCAAAAUCUUCAUAUUCUUCCAUAGACUUAAUGUUUCGUUAGGAUGAUUUAUUCAGGUGCGGGUUACGUUAGUUCACACAUUUAAUAGAAUAAUUCUUUUUUUUAAA